ACACGACUACAUUAGAUACCCGCGUAGUCCUAGCCGUAAACGAUACUCGCUAGGUGUCGGCCACGGUGCGGCCGUUGUCGGUGCCGUAGGGAAGCCGUGAAGCGAGCCACCUGGGAAGUACGGCCGCAAGGCUGAAACUUAAAGGAAUUGGCGGGGGAGCACCACAACGGGUGGAGCUUGCGGUUUAAUUGGAUUCAACGCCGGAAAUCUUACCGGGACCGACAGCAACAUGAAGGCCAGGCUGAAGACUUUGCCGGAUUAGCUG
rnacentral:rRNA from 1 species